GCCGGUAAUGCUGCGGAUUGCUGCCCUUGCUUUGCCCUUCUUUUACGGAACUUGUCUUGGACAGGGCGGCAGCUUGGCUCAGCAGCGUCACUUCAUUGCUCGCUGAACAUCUUGGUGCUCGUGUGGGAGGAGCUGCUCUGGUCCUCGAAAAUGGAGCGUCUUGAUCAGUUUGAACACCGCUUCUUGUUCUUUCGGGAUUUUUUUCCCGGGGAUAAUCAUAUUCACUUUUGCCAAGCACAGUCCGCCCCGUGGCGGGUCAGGCUGGCGCAGGAAGGGCUGGAGCUGAACAGGGGAAGUGAACAGCGCCGAGGGAGCUCCCGAGCACAGCCUUGGUUCCUCUGCUGAGGUCAGGUGUCACCUUGGCUGUCGGGGCUUCACUCAGUCCUGUGGUUCUUCCAGCAUUUUGAGUAGAGGCACAAGUUACCAUUUCCCUUCAUAUGCUGCACUGCCAGAUUGUGCAGUUUGUGUGCUACUGUUAGUUGGAGAAAAGGAUUCCUCUAACCUGCUGCCUUUGAGAGAAGGAAGGGAAGAAAUUAGAUCUCCUCCACUGCAUGGAAUUAUUUUGGUAAGUUUAGAGUAAACUGAGAUGACAUGGGACUUGUUUUGGAAUGCUGUGAUUUAAGCAAGUCACUGUGAUGUCUUCCUGUGGGUUAGGAUAGUGUAUGAAAAGUUCUGACCUCUGCCCCAUGCCUUGAGAUAGUCAGACAGCUUUUAAAUGGUUUUUUUUUAUGUAGUACUUCAAAAU